rnacentral:rRNA from 1 species
UACGUAGGGUGCGAGCGUUAAUCGGAAUUACUGGGCGUAAAGCGUGCGCAGGCGGUUUUGUAAGACAGGCGUGAAAUCCCCGGGCUUAACCUGGGAACUGCGUUUGUGACUGCAAGGCUAGAGUACGGCAGAGGGGGGUGGAAUUCCACGUGUAGCAGUGAAAUGCGUAGAGAUGUGGAGGAACACCAAUGGCGAAGGCAGCCCCCUGGGUCGAUAUUGACGCUCAUGCACGAAAGCGUGGGUAGCAAACAGG